GACAGAGGGUGCAAACGUUGUUCGGAAUUACUGGGCGUAAAGCGCGUGUAGGCGGCUCUGCAAGUCGGGUGUGAAAUCCCAUGGCUCAACCAUGGAAGUGCAUUCGAAACUGCAGGGCUAGAGUCCUGGAGAGGAAGGUGGAAUGCUUGGUGUAGAGGUGAAAUUCGUAGAUAUCAAGCGGAACACCGGUGGCGAAGGCGGCCUUCUGGACAGUGACUGACGCUGAGACGCGAAAAGCGUGGGGAGCAAACAGGG
rnacentral:rRNA from 1 species